rnacentral:rRNA from 1 species
GACGAGGGGUCCUAGCGUUGUUCGGAAUCACUGGGCGUAAAGCGUUUGUAGGCGGCCCUGUAAGUCGGGUGUGAAAUCCCAUGGCUCAACCAUGGAAGUGCAUUCGAAACUGCUGAGCUUGAGUACUUAAGAGGAUCGCGGAAUUCCCGGUGUAGAGGUGAAAUUCGUAGAUAUCGGGAGGAACACCAGUGGCGAAGGCGGCGAUCUGGGAAGAUACUGACGCUGAGGUGCGAAAGCGUGGGGAGCAAACAGG